rnacentral:rRNA from 1 species
GAGUAGGGCGGGACACGUGGUAUCCUGUCUGAAUAUGGGGGGACCAUCCUCCAAGGCUAAAUACUCCUGACUGACCGAUAGUGAACCAGUACCGUGAGGGAAAGGCGAAAAGAACCCCGGCGAGGGGAGUGAAAAAGAACCUGAAACCGUGUACGUACAAGCAGUGGGAGCACGCUUAGGCGUGUGACUGCGUACCUUUUGUAUAAUGGGUCAGCGACUUAUAUUCUGUAGCAAGGUUAACCGAAUAGGGGAGCCGAAGGGAAACCGAGUCUUAACUGGGCGUUAAGUUGCAGGGUAUAGACCCGAAACCCGGUGAUCUAGCCAUGGGCAGGUUGAAGGUUGGGUAACACUAACUGGAGGACCGAACCGACUAAUGUUGAAAAAUUAGCGGAUGACUUGUGGCUGGGGGUGAAAGGCCAAUCAAACCGGGAGAUAGCUGGUUCUCCCCGAAAGCUAUUUAGGUAGCGCCUCGUGAAUUCAUCUCCGGGGGUAGAGCACUGUUUCGGCAAGGGGGUCAUCCCGACUUACCAACCCGAUGCAAACUGCGAAUACCGGAGAAUGUUAUCACGGGAGACACACGGCGGGUGCUAACGUCCGUCGUGAAGAGGGAAACAACCCAGACCGCCAGCUAAGGUCCCAAAGUCAUGGUUAAGUGGGAAACGAUGUGGGAAGGCCCAGACAGCCAGGAUGUUGGCUUAGAAGCAGCCAUCAUUUAAAGAAAGCGUAAUAGCUCACUGGUCGAGUCGGCCUGCGCGGAAGAUGUAACGGGGCUAAACCAUGCACCGAAGCUGCGGCAGCGACGCUUAUGCGUUGUUGGGUAGGGGAGCGUUCUGUAAGCCUGUGAAGGUGUACUGUGAGGUAUGCUGGAGGUAUCAGAAGUGCGAAUGCUGACAUAAGUAACGAUAAAGCGGGUGAAAAGCCCGCUCGCCGGAAGACCAAGGGUUCCUGUCCAACGUUAAUCGGGGCAGGGUGAGUCGACCCCUAAGGCGAGGCCGAAAGGCGUAGUCGAUGGGAAACAGGUUAAUAUUCCUGUACUUGGUGUUACUGCGAAGGGGGGACGGAGAAGGCUAUGUUGGCCGGGCGACGGUUGUCCCGGUUUAAGCGUGUAGGCUGGUUUUCCAGGCAAAUCCGGAAAAUCAAGGCCGAGGCGUGAUGACGAGGCACUACGGUGCUGAAGCAACAAAUGCCCUGCUUCCAGGAAAAGCCUCUAAGCAUCAGGUAACAUCAAAUCGUACCCCAAACCGACACAGGUGGUCAGGUAGAGAAUACCAAGGCGCUUGAGAGAACUCGGGUGAAGGAACUAGGCAAAAUGGUGCCGUAACUUCGGGAGAAGGCACGCUGAUACGUAGGUGAAGCGACUUGCUCGUGGAGCUGAAAUCAGUCGAAGAUACCAGCUGGCUGCAACUGUUUAUUAAAAACACAGCACUGUGCAAACACGAAAGUGGACGUAUACGGUGUGACGCCUGCCCGGUGCCGGAAGGUUAAUUGAUGGGGUUAGCGCAAGCGAAGCUCUUGAUCGAAGCCCCGGUAAACGGCGGCCGUAACUAUAACGGUCCUAAGGUAGCGAAAUUCCUUGUCGGGUAAGUUCCGACCUGCACGAAUGGCGUAAUGAUGGCCAGGCUGUCUCCACCCGAGACUCAGUGAAAUUGAACUCGCUGUGAAGAUGCAGUGUACCCGCGGCAAGACGGAAAGACCCCGUGAACCUUUACUAUAGCUUGACACUGAACAUUGAGCCUUGAUGUGUAGGAUAGGUGGGAGGCUUUGAAGUGUGGACGCCAGUCUGCAUGGAGCCGACCUUGAAAUACCACCCUUUAAUGUUUGAUGUUCUAACGUGGACCCGUGAUCCGGGUUGCGGACAGUGUCUGGUGGGUAGUUUGACUGGGGCGGUCUCCUCCUAAAGAGUAACGGAGGAGCACGAAGGUUGGCUAAUCCUGGUCGGACAUCAGGAGGUUAGUGCAAUGGCAUAAGCCAGCUUGACUGCGAGCGUGACGGCGCGAGCAGGUGCGAAAGCAGGUCAUAGUGAUCCGGUGGUUCUGAAUGGAAGGGCCAUCGCUCAACGGAUAAAAGGUACUCCGGGGAUAACAGGCUGAUACCGCCCAAGAGUUCAUAUCGACGGCGGUGUUUGGCACCUCGAUGUCGGCUCAUCACAUCCUGGGGCUGAAGUAGGUCCCAAGGGUAUGGCUGUUCGCCAUUUAAAGUGGUACGCGAGCUGGGUUUAGAACGUCGUGAGACAGUUCGGUCCCUAUCUGCCGUGGGCGCUGGAGAACUGAGGGGGGCUGCUCCUAGUACGAGAGGACCGGAGUGGACGCAUCACUGGUGUUCGGGUUGUCAUGCCAAUGGCACUGCCCGGUAGCUAAAUGCGGAAGAGAUAAGUGCUGAAAGCAUCUAAGCACGAAACUUGCC